GCCAGCGUGGCAUAGUGGUUUGAGUGUUGGACUACGACUCUGAAGACCAGGGUUUGAUUCCCGCUUGGCC